CAUAGGUUAAUGAGGCGAACCGGGGGAACUGAAACAUCUAAGUACCCCGAGGAAAAGAAAUCAACCGAGAUUCCCCCAGUAGCGGCGAGCGAACGGGGAGCAGCCCAGAGCCUGAAUCAGUGUGUGUGUUAGUGGAAGCGUCUGGAAAGGCGCGCGAUACAGGGUGACAGCCCCGUACACAAAAAUGCACAUACUGUGAGCUCGAUGAGUAGGGCGGGACACGUGGUAUCCUGUCUGAAUAUGGGGGGACCAUCCUCCAAGGCUAAAUACUCCUGACUGACCGAUAGUGAACCAGUACCGUGAGGGAAAGGCGAAAAGAACCCCGGCGAGGGGAGUGAAAAAGAACCUGAAACCGUGUACGUACAAGCAGUGGGAGCACGCUUAGGCGUGUGACUGCGUACCUUUUGUAUAAUGGGUCAGCGACUUAUAUUCUGUAGCAAGGUUAACCGAAUAGGGGAGCCGAAGGGAAACCGAGUCUUAACUGGGCGUUAAGUUGCAGGGUAUAGACCCGAAACCCGGUGAUCUAGCCAUGGGCAGGUUGAAGGUUGGGUAACACUAACUGGAGGACCGAACCGACUAAUGUUGAAAAAUUAGCGGAUGACUUGUGGCUGGGGGUGAAAGGCCAAUCAAACCGGGAGAUAGCUGGUUCUCCCCGAAAGCUAUUUAGGUAGCGCCUCGUGAAUUCAUCUCCGGGGGUAGAGCACUGUUUCGGCAAGGGGGUCAUCCCGACUUACCAACCCGAUGCAAACUGCGAAUACCGGAGAAUGUUAUCACGGGAGACACACGGCGGGUGCUAACGUCCGUCGUGAAGAGGGAAACAACCCAGACCGCCAGCUAAGGUCCCAAAGUCAUGGUUAAGUGGGAAACGAUGUGGGAAGGCCCAGACAGCCAGGAUGUUGGCUUAGAAGCAGCCAUCAUUUAAAGAAAGCGUAAUAGCUCACUGGUCGAGUCGGCCUGCGCGGAAGAUGUAACGGGGCUAAACCAUGCACCGAAGCUGCGGCAGCGACGCUGAUGCGUUGUUGGGUAGGGGAGCGUUCUGUAAGCCUGUGAAGGUGUGCUGUGAGGCAUGCUGGAGGUAUCAGAAGUGCGAAUGCUGACAUAAGUAACGAUAAAGCGGGUGAAAAGCCCGCUCGCCGGAAGACCAAGGGUUCCUGUCCAACGUUAAUCGGGGCAGGGUGAGUCGACCCCUAAGGCGAGGCCGAAAGGCGUAGUCGAUGGGAAACAGGUUAAUAUUCCUGUACUUGGUGUUACUGCGAAGGGGGGACGGAGAAGGCUAUGUUGGCCGGGCGACGGUUGUCCCGGUUUAAGCGUGUAGGCUGGUUUUCCAGGCAAAUCCGGA
rnacentral:rRNA from 1 species